GUGCUUGCUUCAGCAGCACAUAUACUAAAACUGGAACGAUACAGCGAAAUUAGCAUAGCCCCUGCGCAAGGAUAACAUGCAAAUUUGUGAAGCGUUCCAUAUAUUU
ensembl:snRNA U6 U6 spliceosomal RNA